rnacentral:rRNA from 1 species
GCAGCAGCGCGGUAAAACGGAGGGCGCGAGCGUUACCCGGAUUUACUGGGCGUAAAGGGCGUGUAGGCGGCCUGGGGCGUCCCAUGUGAAAGGCCACGGCUCAACCGUGGAGGAGCGUGGGAUACGCUCAGGCUAGAGGGUGGGAGAGGGUGGUGGAACUCCCGGAGUAGCGGUGAAAUGCGCAGAUACCGGGAGGAACGCCGAUGGCGAAGGCAGCCACCUGGUCCACUUCUGACGCUGAGGCGCGAAAGCGUGGGGAGCAAACCGGAUUAGAGACCCCAGUAGUCCCUGUCUCUUAUACA